rnacentral:rRNA from 1 species
UACGAAGGGUGCAACCGUUGCUCGGAAUUAUUGGGCGUAAAGCGCACGUAGGCGGUUUGUCGCGUCGAAUGUGAAAACCCGGGGCUCAACCCCGGGCCUGCAUUCGAUACGGGCAGACUAGAGUUCGGUAGGGGAGUCUGGAAUUCCUGGUGUAGCGGUGAAAUGCGCAGAUAUCAGGAGGAACACCGGUGGCGAAGGCGGGACUCUGGGCCGAUACUGACGCUGAGGAGCGAAAGCGUGGGGAGCAAACAGG